UGCAGAUGAUGUGACAUAUUUGCUAUCUUAACACUCAUGAUGACAUAUCCACCAAGAUCACUGAUGCA